AUGUAAAAAUUUGGGUGGAAUAGGGUGGUGACGUGGCAAUCAAAAAACGUCAUUUUGAAUGAUAUUUUAUCUUGUUUGUAUUAUUUUGAUAAAUAAAUUAAAAAUUAGAUUAUUUUUAUAAAUAAUUAUUUUUUAAAAUUAAUUAGAUAAAGUACUCGAAGGAAAAAGCUACUAAUUGUCCGGGACAAUGUAAUCCCCAGCAUCAUCAUGUGGAUUUCACCUUUCUAUCUC
rnacentral:lncRNA from 1 species